UACGGAGGGGGCUAGCGUUGUUCGGAAUUACUGGGCGUAAAGCGCACGUAGGCGGCUUUGUAAGUUAGAGGUGAAAGCCCGGGGCUCAACUCUGGAAUUGCCUUUAAGACUGCAUCGCUAGAAUUGUGGAGAGGUAAGUGGAAUUCCGAGUGUAGAGGUGAAAUUCGUAGAUAUUCGGAAGAACACCAGUGGCGAAGGCGACUUACUGGACACAUAUUGACGCUGAGGUGCGAAAGCGUGGGGAGCAACAGG
rnacentral:rRNA from 1 species